UCAGGGCGCUGCCGUAAGGUCCUGCAGUACCGGACUUGGUGUCGAGAGUUGGAGCAGCAGCUGGAAGCAGGAGGGGGAUCCCUUCCAGGCAGGCGGGAAGCCACAGAAGACCACAGCCUGAAGAAAGCACUGCUUCAGUUGGAAGAGGAGCAGCAAAGGUGCGAGAAUCUGGCAGAAGUGAACACUCUCCUGCGGGAGCAGCUCG